rnacentral:rRNA from 1 species
AACGAACGCUGGCGGCAGGCUUAACACAUGCAAGUCGAGCGCCCCGCAAGGGGAGCGGCAGACGGGUGAGUAACGCGUGGAAAUCUACCCAUCUCUACGGAAUAACGCAUGGAAACGUGUGCUAAUACCGUAUACGUCCUUCGGGAGAAAGAUUUAUCGGAGAUGGAUGAGCCCGCGUUGGAUUAGCUAGUUGGUGGGGUAAAGGCCUACCAAGGCGACGAUCCAUAGCUGGUCUGAGAGGAUGAUCAGCCACACUGGGACUGAGACACGGCCCAGACUCCUACGGGAGGCAGCAGUGGGGAAUAUUGGACAAUGGGCGCAAGCCUGAUCCAGCCAUGCCGCGUGAGUGAUGAAGGCCCUAGGGUUGUAAAGCUCUUUCACCGGUGAAGAUAAUGACGGUACCGGAGGAGAAGCCCCGGCUAACUUCGUGCCAGCCGCCGCGGUAACAC